UACGUAGGGGGCUAGCGUUGUCCGGAUUUAUUGGGCGUAAAGAGCUCGUAGGCGGUUUGUCGCGUCUGCUGUGAAAACCCGAGGCUCAACCUCGGGCCUGCAGUGGGUACGGGCAGACUAGAGUGCGGUAGGGGAGAUUGGAAUUCCUGGUGUAGCGGUGGAAUGCGCAGAUAUCAGGAGGAACACCGAUGGCGAAGGCAGAUCUCUGGGCCGAUACUGACGCUGAGGAGCGAAAGCGUGGGGAGCGAACAGG
rnacentral:rRNA from 1 species